CCUACGGGUGGCAGCAGUGAGGAAUAUUGGUCAAUGGGCGGGAGCCUGAACCAGCCAAGUCGCGUGAAUGAAGAAGGUACUUAGUAUUGUAAACUUCUUUUGUCGGGGAACAAAGGCGUAGACGCGUCUCCGGAUGAGUGUACCCGACGAAAAAGCAUCGGCAAACUCCGUGCCAGCAGCCGCGGUAAUACGGGGGAUGCGAUCGUUAUCCGGAUUUAUUGGGUUUAAAGGGUGCGCAGGGGGGAAAUCAAGUCAGCGGUAAAAUGUCGGGGCUCAACCCCGGCCGGCCGUUGAAACUGGUUAUCUAGAGUAGGAGAGAAGUAGGCGGAAUUCGUGGUGUAGCGGUGAAAUGCGUAGAUA
rnacentral:rRNA from 1 species